rnacentral:rRNA from 1 species
GCAUAUCAAUAAGCGGAGGAAAAGAAACCAACAGGGAUUGCCUCAGUAACGGCGAGUGAAGCGGCAACAGCUCAAAUUUGAAAUCUGGCUCUUUCAGGGUCCGAGUUGUAAUUUGUAGAAGAUGCUUCGGGUGUAGCUCCGGUCUAAGUUCCUUGGAACAGGACGUCAUAGAGGGUGAGAAUCCCGUAUGUGACUGGGUGCUUUCGCCUAUGUGAAGCUCUUUCGACGAGUCGAGUUGUUUGGGAAUGCAGCUCAAAAUGGGUGGUAAAUUUCAUCUAAAGCUAAAUAUUGGCCAGAGACCGAUAGCGCACAAGUAGAGUGAUCGAAAGAUGAAAAGCACUUUGGAAAGAGAGUUAAACAGUACGUGAAAUUGUUGAAAGGGAAGCGCUUGCAACCAGACUUGCACUUGGUCGAUCAUCCGAGGUUCUCCCCGGUGCACUCGAUCUUGUUCAGGCCAGCAUCGGUUCAGGUGGUGGGAUAAAGGCCUUGGGAAUGUAGCUUCUUUCGGGGAGUGUUAUAGCCCUCGGUGCAAUGCCGCCUACCUGGACCGAGGACCGCGCUUCGGCUAGGAUGCUGGCGUAAUGGUUGUAAGCGACCCGUCUUGAAACACGGACC